rnacentral:rRNA from 1 species
UACGGAGGGGGCUAGCGUUGUUCGGAAUUACUGGGCGUAAAGCGCGCGUAGGCGGACCUGCAAGUCGGGGGUGAAAGCCCGAGGCUCAACUUCGGGUCGGCCAAGGAUACUCCCGGGCUCGAGCACUGUAGAGGCAGGUGGAAUUCCGGGUGUAGCGGUGGAAUGCGUAGAGAUCCGGAAGAACACCGGUGGCGAAGGCGGCCUGCUGGGCAGUAGCUGACGCUGAGGCGCGACAGCGUGGGGAGCAAACAGG